GAUGAACGCUGACAGAAUGCUUAACACAUGCAAGUCUACUUGAAUUUGGGUUUUUAACUUAGAUUUGGGUGGCGGACGGGUGAGUAACGCAUAAAGAACUUGCCUCACAGCUAGGGACAACAUUUAGAAAUGAAUGCUAAUACCUAAUAUUAUGAUAAUAGGGCAUCCUAUAAUUAUGAAAGCUAUAUGCGCUGUGAGAGAGCUUUGCGUCCCAUUAGCUAGUUGGAGAGGUAACGGCUCACCAAGGCGAUGAUGGGUAGCCGGCCUGAGAGGGUGAUCGGCCACAAGGGGACUGAGACACGGCCCUUACUCCUACGGGAGGCAGCAGUGGGGAAUAUUGGACAAUGGACCGAGAGUCUGAUCCAGCAAUUCUGUGUGCACGAUGAAGUUUUUCGGAAUGUAAAGUGCUUUCAGUUGGGAAGAAAGAAAUGACGGUACCAACAGAAGAAGUGACGGCUAAAUACGUGCCAGCAGCCGCGGUAAUACGUAUGUCACGAGCGUUAUCCGGAUUUAUUGGGCGUAAAGCGCGUCUAGGUGGUUAUAUAAGUCUGAUGUGAAAAUGCAGGGCUCAACUCUGUAUUGCGUUGGAAACUGUAUAACUAGAGUACUGGAGAGGUAAGCGGAACUAUAAGUGUAGAGGUGAAAUUCGUAGAUAUUUGUAGGAAUGCCGAUGGGGAAGCCAGCUUACUGGACAGAUACUGACGCUGAAGCGCGAAAGCGUGGGUAGCAAACAGG
rnacentral:rRNA from 1 species